rnacentral:misc_RNA from 1 species
GAAUCAUUACUAUUUAUAUUUCGAAAACAUUUCAGGUAAACAAUAAAACUAAUUUACACAUUUCGAAAAUUUUAUUUACAGUUUAUUUACAAAUUUGGAAAAUAAUUUCGCAAAAUACGCUUACCUUAUGUAAAAUGUGCACUACAAUAUACUAUUCAAAUGUCACUUAAAUUUAUUUACAUUACAAUACAACAUAGAUAUCUCUAUUACAUAUCAUAAUUUGUGAAAAUAUUAGUUGUUUCUUUAAGUAAAAAAAUUAAGACAAAAUAUGGUUCAACUGAUUUUAUUACAUUUAGGAUAUUUAAAUAAGUAAAUUAAUCAAAUAUUUGUCAUAAAUAGACUAGUAAUAUUUAGUUUCGUUGAAAUGUAAAGAUAUUCUAACGAAGAGAUCCUGUUUGACUGUGAUUAGUCACAGUAAUAGUUAAUAAUCAAGAUCCCAGGACCCAUAAACAUAAUUUAUUUUCUGAUGGAAAAAAUAUUAAUAAAGUACUAUCAGUGUGUACAGCGUAUACAUACCGAAUAGUUUUGGCCCAGGGCCAAUUCUGAGGUACAAUAUGCUACAGUCGGUUAAAAAUCUAGUCCUGAGAUUUUAGACUAAUGUAACAUGACGUUUUAGAGUGGCGUAAGCCCUAAAAGCGAAUUUGACCAAUGCCUCAAUUUCUUUCUAUUUUUUACCAACUCCAAAAAAGGAGGAGGUUACUCAAUACGACCGUAUAUAUAUAUAUAUAUAUAUUUUAUUAAUGUAUGUUCGGGGAUAACUGCGUCGUUUAUGAACCGAUUUUAAUAAUUCCUUUUUUGUUGGAAAGGAGAUAUACCAAGUGUGGUACCAUGCUAAGGAAGCCAGAAUCUGAUGAUGGAAUCCCAGAGAAAUCGA